AGUAGGAUGUGGGUGGGACCAGAUAAGGGAAUAAAAAGCAGGCUACCCAAGCCAGCAGCGGCAAGCCGCUUGGGUCCCCUUCCGUGUUGUGGAAGCUUUGUUCUUUCACUCUUCACAAUAAAUCUUGCUGCUGCUCACUCUUUGGCUCUGCACCACCUUUAUGAGCUGUAACACUCACCACGAAGGUCUGCAGCUUCACUCCUGAGGCCAGCAAGACCACAAACUCACCGGAAGGAACAAACAACUCCAGAUGCACCACCUUUAAGAGCUGUAACACUCACCGCAAAGGUCUGCAGCUUAAUUCCUGAAGUCAGCGAGACCACGAACCCACCAGAAGGAAGAAACUCUGGACACAUCUGAACAUAUGAAGGAACAAACUCUGGACACACCAUCUUUAAGAACUGUAACACUCACUGCGAGGGUCCACGGCUUCAUUCUUGAAGUCAGCAAGACCAAGAACCCAGUAAUUCCGGACACAUUUUGGUGACCAUGAAGGGACUAUCGCCUAUCACCAAGCAGUAAGACUAUCACCAAGCAGUGAGACCACUGCCUAUCGCCAAGCGAAUCGAGGCCAUCAAGCUACAGAUGGUCUUACAAAUGGAACCCCAAAUGAGCUCAAUUAACAACUUCUACCAAGGACCCCUGGACUGACCUGCUGGGCCCUUCCACUAGCCUAAAGAGUUCCCUUCUGGAGGAGACUACAACUGCAGGGCCGCUUCUUCGCCCCUAUCCAGCAGGAAGUAGCUACAGUGGUCAUCAGCCAAAUUCCCAACAGCAGUUGGGGUGUCCUGUUUAGAGGGGGGAUUGAGAGGUGACAACGUGCUAGCAGCCCUUGCUCGCUCUCGGUGCCUCCUCGGCCUCAGCAUCUGCUCUGGCCACACUUGAGGAACCCUUCACCCUGCCGCUGCGCUGUGGGGGCCCCUCUCUGGGGCUGGCUGAGGCCGGAGCCAGCUCUCUCUGCUUGUGGGGAGGUGUGGAGGGAGAGGUGUGGGCAAGAGCCGGGGCUGCGUGCAGCACUCGCAGGUGGCAUGGGUUCCAGGUGGGCGCAGGCUCGGAGGGCCUCACACUCUGCACGGCCCGCCGGCGCUUGCUGGGCUUGAUUGGGGUAUGAGCUCCCUCUGGGCUGCCAGAGUGCCCGGGCUAGGUGCUGCAAAGUCCCGUGGCAAGUGCCAUUGAGAGGUGAAGCCGGCUGGGCUUCUGGGUCGGGUGGGGACCUGGAGAACUUUUCUGUCAAGCUAAAGGUUUGUAAACACACUGAUCAGUACUCUUUGUCUAGCUAAAGGUUUGUAAAUGCACCAAUCAGCAUUCUGUGUCUAGCUAAAGGUUUGUAAAUGCACCACUCAGUGCACUGUGUCUAGCUAAUCGGGUAGGGGACUUGGAGAACUUUUGUGUCUAGCUAAAGGAUUGUAAAUGCACCAAUCAGUGCUCUGUGUCUAGCUAAAGGUUUGUAAAUGCACCAAUCAGCACUCUGUCAUAACGGACCAAUCAGCUCUCUGUAAAACGGGCCAAUCACCUCUCUGUAAAAUGAACCAAUCAGUAGGAUGUGGGUGGAGCCAGAUAAGGGAAUAAAAGCAGGCCACCCGAGCCAGCAGUGGCAACCCGCUUGGGUGCCCUUCCAUGCUAUGGAAGCUUUGUUCUGUCGCUCUUUGCAAUAAAUCUUGCUGCUGCUCACUCUUUGGGUCCAUGCCACCUUUAUGAGCUGUAACACUCACUGUGAAGGUCUGCAGCUUCACUCCUGAAGCCAGUGAGACCAUAAACCCCCCAGGGGGGACGAACAACUCUGGACGGGAGGAACGAACAACUCUGGACCGCCACCUUUAUGAACUGUAACACUCACCGUGAAGGUCUGCAGCUUCACUCCUGAAGUCAGCAAGACCACGAACCCACCAGAAGGAAAAAACUCCAGACACAUCUGAACAUCUGAAGGAACAAACUCCAGACACACCAUCUUUAAGAACAGUAACACUCAUGGCAAGGGUCCGCGGCUUCAUUCUUGAAGUCAGCGAGACCAAGAACCCACCAAUUCCGGACACAGCACCACUGCUCUCCAGCCUGGGUGACAGAGCCAGAUCCUGUCUCAAAAAAAAAAAAAAAAAGAAAAGGAUUAAAAUUCAAAAAUACCUAGAUACCUAGGAAUACAGCUAACCAGGGAGGUGAAAGAUCUCUACAAUGAGAAUUACAAAACAGUGCUCAACAAAAUCAGAAAUGACAUGAACAAAUGGAAAAAUAUUCCAUGCUCAUGGAUAGUAUAGCAUGAAAAUGGCUAUACUAUCCAAAGCAACUUACAGAUUCAAUGCUAUUCCUAUCAAACUACUAAUGACAUUCUUCACAGAAUUAGAAAAAAAAACUACUUUAAAAUUCAUAUGGAACCAAAAAAGAGCCCACGUAGCCAAGACAAUCUUAAGCAAAAAGAACAAA